rnacentral:rRNA from 1 species
GACGAACGCUGGCGGCGUGCUUAACACAUGCAAGUCGAACGGUAAGGCCCUUCGGGGUACACGAGUGGCGAACGGGUGAGUAACACGUGGGUGAUCUGCCCUGCACUUCGGGAUAAGCCUGGGAAACUGGGUCUAAUACCGGAUAGGACUCCUGGCUUCAUGGUUGGGGGUGGAAAGCUUUUGCGGUGUGGGAUGGGCCCGCGGCCUAUCAGCUUGUUGGUGGGGUAAUGGCCUACCAAGGCGACGACGGGUAGCCGGCCUGAGAGGGUGGCCGGUCACACUGGGACUGAGAUACGGCCCAGACUCCUACGGGAGGCAGCAGUGGGGAAUAUUGCACAAUGGGCGCAAGCCUGAUGCAGCGACGCCGCGUGAGGGAUGACGGCCUUCGGGUUGUAAACCUCUUUCAGCUAUGACGAAGCGCAAGUGAUGGUAGUAGCAGAAGAAGGACCGGCCAACUACGUGCCAGCAGCCGCAGUAA